rnacentral:rRNA from 1 species
UAAGCAUAUCAAUAAGCGGAGGAAAAGAAACUAACCAGGAUUCCCCUAGUAACGGCGAGUGAAGAGGGAAAAGCCCAAAUUUGUAAUCUGGCUCUUUCAGAGUCCGAGUUGUAAUUUUAAGAACUGUUUUCCGUGCUGGACCAUUUCUAAGUCUGUUGAAAAAUAGCAUCAUUGAGGGUGAUAAUCCCGUUCAUGAUAUGGACUACCAGUGCAAUGUGAUACAGUUUCUAAGAGUCGAGUUGUUUGGGAAUGCAGCUCAAAGUGGGUGGUAAAUUCCAUCUAAGGCUAAAUAUAGGUGAGAGACCGAUAGCAUACAAGUACCGUGAGGGAAAGAUGAAAAGAACUUUGGAAAGAGAGUUAACAGUACGUGAAAUUGUUGUAAGAGAAACAAUUAAAGUUAGCCUUGUGCUUGUUAGUUCAGCUCUUUAACUAGGGUGUAUUCUAAUGAUGUCACGGACCAACAUCAGUUCUUGGGUGCUGGAUAAGGGCUCCAGAAAUGUAGCAGUUUAGGCUGUGUUAUAGUCUGGGGUUUGGAUACAGUGCUUGGGACUGAGGAUAUCUGCAGCAAGCCAGUCACAUGGCCGCCCUUUUUAAGGGCUCCCCUGCUGAGGAUGUUGGUGUCAAUAGCUUUAAAUGACGCGUCUUGAAACACGGACCAAGGAGA